rnacentral:rRNA from 1 species
ACGUAUGGUGCAAGCGUUAUCCGGAUUUACUGGGUGUAAAGGGAGCGUAGACGGCUGUGUAAGUCUGAAGUGAAAACCCGGGGCUCAACCCCGGGACUGCUUUGGAAACUAUGCAGCUAGAGUGUCGGAGAGGUAAGUGGAAUUCCCAGUGUAGCGGUGAAAUGCGUAGAUAUUGGGAGGAACACCAGUGGCGAAGGCGGCUUACUGGACGAUGACUGACGUUGAGGCUCGAAAGCGUGGGGAGCAAACAG